ensembl:lncRNA
AAGGAAUAUGUCUGUCUAAGCUCCUCCACCUUUCCUUCCCUCCACGCGCAGACUCUGUGGAGCAGCAGAAGUGGGGGUGGUGGGAGGAUAAGGCUUCAGGCAAUAUAGGAAGGGAGCAGAGAGGAGAGAAGGCAGCCAUGCAAGAAAGUUCCUCUCCUAUGGAGGCUGAUUUAUUUAGUAAGGAAAACAUGGAAUUUUAACCUGAGAAGCCAAGGUUUUACAUGGCUGGCUACGCUUGUGAUUUUUAAGAUACUAAUAACAUUUCAAACUUCGUUACAUUUGUAAAAGGCUUCAGCAGACAUUAUUUCCCUUCGUCCUGCUUGUAGUCUGUCAAGGCAAGCCACCAUUUUGUUGAUGUAGAAACAGACCCUGGGGUGUGUGCAACAACUUGCUUGUGUUACAACACACCUGGUGUUUCCAAAGAAGCUGAGUUCCAUGUGAAACUUUAAGCCAGAGCAUCAGAGCCAUACUGCUGAAGGAAGUUGCUUAUCCCAGUUUAAAAACCAAUCUUAAACAGAUAUCAGGGGAAAUCUACUAUCUUUAAAGGAUUCUCCUGUUUGUGGAGACCACUGAAUUUUUCUUUACCUUUUACAAGAAUUAAAACCCAAGUGCCUCCAAGGAUAAGCUUCAGUGCUUCUUAGAACUGGGGAAGAAAGAGUGCUAUUACUGACAGAAUAGACAGGGAUGUCCUUCUUUCUUUAUGUGACACCAGGAAUCCAGAUAUAAGAAAGGCAGUCUUCAGGUGUUAGCAGUUUGAAUUCAAGUUACAAGUGAUGUUGAGGGUGCUUUCAUGUAUUUUUGAGCCAUUACUAAUUCUUCUUUUGAGAACUGCAUCAUCAUAUCCUUUACCCAUUUUUAGCUUGAGUUGUCGUCUUCUUUCUACUGAUUUUUUCCAAUUUCCGUGUAUGCAGGUAAGACUUUUUUUUUUUUUUUUUCAAAAAAAGACACACAAACACAAGAAAGCUACAGACCAAUUUAAAUUUCAUUUACUAUUAAUUUUCAAUAAACUACUAACAAAAGAGAAGCCAGUAUAACAUUAAAGCAGAAAAUACACUAUGCUAAAAUACACUAUGGUCCAAUCUAAGAAAUUAAGGAUGGUUCUAUGUCAGGAAAAUUAUUCAUUUAAUUGUGUAUUAAUAGGUCAGAGGUUGCAAACUGUAUAACUCAUUCAAAUUUACUUAAAUGAUAUUAAAUAAAAUUCAGCAUCUACCUCUCAAUUAAACACAUACUCACAUGUGCACAUGCAUGCACUCACUUACACACUUCUAACCAUAUAUAGCUAGAUAGAUGCUUCCUUAACACCAGAUGAAGCACUGGAAGAAUUAUCCCUAACAUCAUGAAUGAGCCAAAGUGAUUGUAAGCACUACUAUGUAACAUUUUCCAGGAGAUAUCAGCAAGUGUAAUUAAUCAAAAGAAAUAAAUGUAAAAAUUGAAAAGGAAGAUGUAAAAUUAUUAUUUACAGUUAACAUGACUUUAUACCUUUGAAAUCUAGAUUUAACUGAAAAAAAAAAACUACUAAAAUCUUUAAGAAAUUCAGUAGAGAUAUCAGCUUUUAUCAUUGAAAUCUAAAAAUCAACAGCUUCCAUACUGAAAUAAUAACUAGUAAGAAAAUAUAAUACAAUACCUCAUUUACAUCAGCAAUAAUUAAUAAUACUUAGGAAUAANNNNNNNNNNNNNNNGUGCAAACUUAAAUAUCCACUGGGGAGCUUACUAGAAGACUUAAAUGAAAGGAAGAAUUCCAUUUAGAAACUUACCAGUUCACCAUAAUUAAUCUAUAAAUUCAGCAUUUUUUCAGUAAAAAAAAAAUCAACAGAAUCUUAAAUGUUCUCUUCAAAGAUAGUAAAGUUUAUCCAGAUGGGAAAUAAAACACAGGGAACCUGCCAGAGAGCCAGAAAAGUUUUUUAUUAAAAGAAGGGAGACUAGCUUUACUAAAUACUAAAAUACAUUACUACAGUAAUUACUGCAAUAAUUAAAAGAGUUUGGUACUGAGAGAUCAAUUAAAUAUUUGGAAUAUAGAGUCUGGUAGAAAUAAAGCAAAAUACAUAUGGAAUUUACUUUAUAUUCAAAAGAUCAUCUCGAAUUAGUGAGGAAAAGAUGAAUGAUAAUUAACUGUGUUGGAACCCUAGACUGGUCACUUAGAAAAAAUAACCUGAAUCCCUUUCUUACUUCUUAAAGUUAAUUCAAAGUGGUUCUAAUACAGAACUUUUUUCUAAAUGAAACCAUGUAUAUUAAAAGAAAACAUGAACUAUUAAAAAAUAUUCCUGGAAUUGAGAAAGUUAUUCUAACAAGACACAAAACCAGAAAACGAAAAAGAACAGAUGGCUAAAUAUGACCAUUAUAACAAGAACAA